UACAGAGGGGGCGAGCGUUAUUCGGAAUUAUUGGGCGUAAAGGGCGCGUAGGCGGCCUUUCAAGUGACGGGUGAAAUCCCUCGGCUUAACCGAGGAACUGCCUGUCAGACUGGAAGGCUUGAGACCGGGAGAGGUGAGUGGAAUUCCCAGUGUAGCGGUGAAAUGCGUAGAUAUUGGGAGGAACACCAGUGGCGAAGGCGGAUCACUGGACCGGAACUGACGCUGAGGCGCGAAAGCGUGGGGAGCAAACAGG
rnacentral:rRNA from 1 species